rnacentral:lncRNA from 1 species
UCCUCUAUCUAAUAAUAAGUAAACCACACAGCAGGAACACUAACGAUAUUCACUGAUAACAUAUUGGGUUCUAACAAAUGGGUCUUCAAUUUCAUCUCCAAAAUCAAUUCUUUUAAAACUGAAGCUUUCUUUUAGACAUUUUAUCGAACAAGUUGUGGACCACAAAUCCAGAAUACAAAAACGAAUGAUUAACAAGUUGUGAGCUAUUAUGUGGUAAAGAAACACUAAGACAUAACGAAAUUUACUGUAAGGAAACAGUUUAGGAUCUUGAAUGAAUGGAGAAGAAGAUUAAAGCGCGAAACCUAAACUAAAAUUGCUGUCGCUGUUGUUUGAAUUAUAUAGCCGUUGUUGUUUUGAUCUGGAUUUCUCAAACGACGGAAAU